UUCAGGGGUAAACCUGAGAAACCCGAAAGGUCGAAAGGGGAGAUUCAGCGUGUCUCGAUCGUAGCGCUGGACGGUCGUGCGACGGACGGCGUACGCGUCGUCCGCGCCUUUCGUUCUCCGAACUGCGGUCGAACGCGUGCACUUCUCCUCCUGUAGGACGUCGCGAUUCGUUGGGUGCCGGUCUAAGGCCCGAGGUGGAGUCCGUCGGAACGUUUCGGCGUUUCUGGCGAACCCUCGGUGUUUCCCGGUCGGCUCGCUCGACGAUAUACAGAUGGCGCGGGGCCGCUAUUUAGUUAGCGUUCGACCUUCGGCAAGCGCGUCCGUCGUGACGGUGAUCGGACCUGGUGCCGGUCCCGUUCCCGGACGGCUGUUCGCUGAGGUGUUCUCGAACAGACCUCGUUGAAACGCCGAUCUGCGACGCUAUAGCUUUGGGUACUUUCAGGACCCGUCUUG
rnacentral:rRNA from 1 species